GACAGAGGGGGCAAGCGUUGCUCGGAAUUACUGGGCGUAAAGGGUGCGUAGGCGGGAUGGCAAGUCGGUCGUGAAAUCCCUCGGCUCAACCGAGGAACGUCGAUCGAUACUGCUGUUCUUGAGGAUUGCAGAGGAGACUGGAAUUCCCGGUGUAGCGGUGAAAUGUGUAGAGAUCGGAAAGAACACCAACGGCGAAAGCACUCUGCUGGGCCGACACUGACACUGAGAGACGAAAGCUAGGGGAGCGAAUGGG
rnacentral:rRNA from 1 species